rnacentral:tRNA from 1 species
GUGAGUAUAGUUCAGUGGUAGAGCAUUCGAUUGCAGAUCGAAAUGUCCCCAGUUCAAACCUGGGUGCCCCCU